rnacentral:rRNA from 1 species
UACGUAGGGUGCGAGCGUUAAUCGGAAUUACUGGGCGUAAAGGGCGCGUAGGCGGCCCGCUAAGUCGAACGUGAAAUCCCCGAGCUCAACUCGGGAACUGCGUCCGAUACUGGCGGGCUUGAAUCCGGGAGAGGGAUGCGGAAUUCCAGGUGUAGCGGUGAAAUGCGUAGAUAUCUGGAGGAACACCGGUGGCGAAGGCGGCAUCCUGGACCGGCAUUGACGCUGAGGCGCGAAAGCUAGGGGAGCAAACAGG